UGGGAAUGAUCGCUAGCUACUUUGUUGAGCACACUCUAGAACACGCUCGCAGAAAAGCUCUAAUUGCUGUGCUCUUUCAGACUUUUAAUGGUAAUAAGACUUGCUUGGAAUUUCAAAGGGUAGCAACAUUGCCCUCCAACUCUCUGAUCAGUCUGUUAUUGUGCUUGUCAAUCAAGGGUGAAGUGAUUUUCUGAUAGCAACAGCUGAAAUAGAGAGAAUUAGUCAAAGCAGAUAACUGUCAAAAAAGGCAACAGGAUCUGAGUUUCUGAAAGCAGGAAUAAUUUGUGGCAGUAUGG